rnacentral:lncRNA from 1 species
GGGCUGGUGACGCGUGCGCCGGCCGGCCGCCGAGGGGCUACCGUUCUGCCUCCGACCGGUCGUGUGUGGGUUUACUCGGAGAAAUACUAGGCUUUAGAAUUUCACCAUAUGAAUUUUGGGAGAGAGGAGCACAGUUCAGCCCAUAACUAACACACGACGGAAUGAAGUUGAUAAUAGUGAGACCUUGUUGGUACAAGACUAUGUAACAUAACCUGCGCUUCUCAACAAAGAAUUGCUUUUCUGACUUCUGCACUCAGUUCUUUCCUCCAGCUCACUUUAUUGUAAGAACCUUGGUGUCUGUAAUCGGCUCGGAACCCUUGCUGCUCUUUCACUGAAUAUCGCUGUCUGGAGGUUACUUGGUACACUGGUCGACAAAACCUUGAAAUGUUGAUGUUUAAGGGCUGUUGAUUGCUGGCAGCAAAGAAGUCCAACUGUGCUGGUACCCGAGAUAGCGUCUCCACAUUUUCUUCCAGGAUCAUCACCUUUGUUCUAAAUAGCUCCCACAUAGUGUGAACAGAAGUCAUAUGUUUUAGAUUUUCUGCCUUGGCACCCAGGAAACCAGUAUGAUUGAGUAAACAUAUUAAACUUCCUCUGCAUUUCCAGCCUGAACAGAUGUUGAGUACAAGCUGAUCCACCUACGUUCAACCUGAGAGAGUCCACAUCCACAGACUGUUUCAUUUCCCUUUUUCAAUUUACAUAGAAGCAUAGAUUCUUGCUGGCAUAUACAAAUGCGCCAUUUAAGGCAAUCAAAAAUGGUUCCACAUCUCAUCUGAUUUCCACAAUUGUUGCUGUAACGAUGGACUACUGAGGAGAGAGACAAUUUCUCUGGCACAUCUUCCCACAUUUUAGCAACAUGUUCAUGGAGAGCCAAUAUUCAGUAAUUACAGCCCAAUUCCUCACAAUUUCACAAUUCGCUAACAAUAUGCAUUUUCACAAUGUAAAGCUGAUUUUCCUUUAACCAAAUCAAACAUGAAAAGAUAGCUGCAUGCAAUGGGCAAUCUAGAUCAUUAGAAGAUUGAUGUAAAAUUAGAGGACACUGAGACUGGAAUAGAUUGCAAACUUCAGGGAGCUCAGAAAACUUGUAAACUCUACAUUUUGAGGAAAUAUGUUGUCGAUGCUUUUGCAACUCUAUGCAGUAACUUAACAAAUAAAGCCUUAAAGUAACUUA